rnacentral:rRNA from 1 species
UACGUAGGGGGCUAGCGUUGUCCGGAUUUACUGGGCGUAAAGGGCGCGUAGGCGGCCACCGCAAGUCGACUGUGAAAUCUCCGGGCUUAACCCGGAAAGGUCAGCCGAUACUGCGGGGCUAGAGUGCAGAAGGGGCAACUGGAAUUCUCGGUGUAGCGGUGAAAUGCGUAGAUAUCGAGAGGAACACCUGCGGCGAAGGCGGGUUGCUGGGCUGACACUGACGCUGAUGCGCGAAAGCUAGGGGAGCGAACGGG